AAGUCGUAACAAGGUUUCCGUAGGUGAACCUGCGGAAGGAUCAUUACCGAGUUCAUGCCCUUCGGGGUAGAUCUCCCACCCUUUGUUUACUAUACUAUGUUGCUUUGGCGGACCGCCUGAUCGCCCCUCGGGGUCUUCAGCUACCGGCUUCGGCUGGUACGUGUCCGCCAGAGGACCCAAAACCCUGAAUAUUAGUGUCGUCUGAGUAAAAAGUUUAAUAUUUAAAACUUUCAACAACGGAUCUCUUGGUUCUC
rnacentral:misc_RNA from 1 species